CAUAGCGACUAUCGUGGCAUAUCAAUAAGCGGAGGAAAAGAAACUAACAAGGAUUCCCCUUAGUAACGGCGAGUGAAGCGGGAAGAGCUCAAAUUUGAAAUCUUCAAGGGUUCUACCUUGACGAAUUGUAGUUUAAAGAAGUGUUUUCUGUUAGUAGAGGUGGCUAAAAGUUCUUUGGAAUAGGACAUCAUAGAGGGUGAGAAUCCCGUAUUUGAUCACUUCUUACUAACGUUGUGAUACACUUUCAAAGAGUCGGAUUGUUUGGGAAUGCAGUCCAAAAUGGGUGGUAAAUUUCAUCUAAAGCUAAAUAUUGGCGAGAGACCGAUAGCGAACAAGUACCGUGAGGGAAAGAUGAAAAGAACUUUGAAAAGAGAGUUAAACAGUACGUGAAAUUGUCAAAAGGGUAGCGUUUGACACCAGUGUUGUUUUCUCGAAAAUCAAUUAAAAAUGAUGGGAUUUUGUGUUGUAUUGACUUUAUCAGCUUUCUGCACUUUUUUCUUAUCUUUUUUAAUGCACUUUUCGUUUAACAAGUCAACAUCAAUUUCUUUUGUUGUAAAAGAGUCAUUGGAAGGUGGCUUUUCUUUCGGAGAAAGUGUUUAUAGCCUUUGGCUUCUGCAAUCGGAGAGAUUGAGGUCUGCAGCGUAGAUCCUUCGGGGUUAGAUACAUUUGUGCUAAGCUAUAGUUCUUUCAUAGACAACUUGUUGACUAUGAUCAAGUCCUGUAGCUUACUCGCUUAUGCUAUUUUACCUACGCUUAGGAUGUUGACGAGACUGUCGAUCUC
rnacentral:rRNA from 1 species